rnacentral:miRNA from 15 species
CUAUGUGUGUGUGCACGUGCAUGCCUGCCUGCCUGUUUUUGCUUGUGUGUGCACGUGCAUGCCUGCCUCCCUGCCUGGUUUUGCUUGUGUGUGCACGUGCCUGCUUGCCUGCCUGCCUGCCUGCUUUUGCUUGUGUGUGCAUGUGCAUGUGCAUGUGC